AGUAAUAAAAAAGUAUUAAUAUUUAAUUACACGAAAAUGUUCGAGCUACAUAAUACAAGAUAUUAGUCUACUUAUAUGUGGUAUAAUAUUAUGAUAGUAUUAUGUAGGAGUGAUAGGCCUUUCAAGUACAUUGAUAUCUUGAUGUAUAAGAGAUAUAUAUAGUAUAAAGACAAUCUACUAAAGUUAAGCUUGGUAGAUAUCUAUUAAUAUAAUUAUUAUUUAUUCGUUAAAGUUUAACCACUUACCGUUUUAAAUGUUAUUAUAAUUUAUUAAUUUUUAUAGAAAAUUAUUAUACAAUAUUUGACAAUUUAUAAUAUAUAUAAUGUUAGUAUAAGUAGUUUAAUAAUAAAUGUUUUAUAUGAACUCGGCAAUAUUUUUUUCAACUGUUUAUCAAAAACAUAGUUAUAUGAUUUAUAUAUAAUUAUUUCUGCUCAAUGAUGUGUUAAAUAGCCGCAGUACUCUGACUGUGCAAAGGUAGCAUAAUCAGUUGGCUCCUAAAUAGAGUCUGGAAUGAAUGAAUAUAUGAAGAACAGCUAUCUUAAAAUAUUUAUAUGAAAUUGGUUGUAGGUGAAAAUCCCUACAUACUUCUAAAAGACGAGAAGACCCUAGAAACUUAUAUAAUUGUUUUGUUGGGGCGACAAAUUUACAUAAAAACUAAUUUUUAAUUAACAUGGCGAUUUCAGAUAGAUAAAGUUACUCUAGGGAUAACAGCAUAAUAUUUUUUGUUUGUGACCUCGAUGUUGGACUAGGUAAAGUAUUCUUUAGAAGAGAAUAUAUAUGCUCUGUUCGAGCACAAGAACCUACAUGAUCUGAGUUCAGACCGG
rnacentral:rRNA from 1 species